GGUGUCAUGGCAGAGGGGUUCAUGCAGGGGUCUGCAACACCCCGUACGGUGGUUCAAGUCCACUUGGCACCUCCA
rnacentral:tRNA from 1 species